AUUGAACGCUGGCGGCAUGCCUUACACAUGCAAGUCGAACGGCAGCACGGGUGCUUGCACCUGGUGGCGAGUGGCGAACGGGUGAGUAAUACAUCGGAACGUACCUUAUCGUGGGGGAUAACGCAGCGAAAGCUGUGCUAAUACCGCAUACGCCCUGAGGGGGAAAGCGGGGGAUCGAAAGACCUCGCGCGAUUAGAGCGGCCGAUGCCUGAUUAGCUUGUUGGUGGGGUAAAAGCCCACCAAGGCGACAAUCAGUAGCUGGUCUGAGAGGACGAUCAGCCACACUGGGACUGAGACACGGCCCAGACUCCUACGGGAGGCAGCAGUGGGGAAUUUUGGACAAUGGGGGCAACCCUGAUCCAGCAAUGCCGCGUGAGUGAAGAAGGCCUUCGGGUUGUAAAGCUCUUUUGUCGGGGAAGAAACACCGGCUCUAACACAGUCCGGGAAUGACGGUACCUGAAGAAUAAGCACCGGCUAACUACGUGCCAGCCGCCGCGGUAA
rnacentral:rRNA from 1 species